rnacentral:rRNA from 1 species
GACGAACGCUGGCGGCGUGCUUAACACAUGCAAGUCGAACGGAAAGGCCCUUCGGGGUACUCGAGUGGCGAACGGGUGAGUAACACGUGGGUGAUCUGCCCUGCACUUUGGGAUAAGCCUGGGAAACUGGGUCUAAUACCGAAUAGGACCACGCGCUUCAUGGUGUGUGGUGGAAAGCUUUUGCGGUGUGGGAUGGGCCCGCGGCCUAUCAGCUUGUUGGUGGGGUAAUGGCCUACCAAGGCGACGACGGGUAGCCGGCCUGAGAGGGUGACCGGCCACAAUGGGACUGGGAUACGGCCCAGAAUCCUACCGGGGGCAGCAGGGGGGAAUAUUGCACAAUGGGGGCAAGCCUGAUGCAACGACGCCGGGUGAGGGAUGACGGCCUUCGGGGUGUAAACCUCUUUCCCCAGGGACGAAGCGUAAGGGACGGUACCUGGAGAAGAAGCACCGGCCAACUACGUG